UUUCCCCCUAAAGCCCGCUUGGCCCUCCCAGUUCCGCAGCUGCGCGGCCCGCCCGCCGAUCCCAUGGCUCCCUUCUCCACCCUUGGGAUUUCUCGUUUGUUCGCCUCCUCUCCGGUACCCUCAAUCCCGUAGAUGCAGGUGGGCAUCCUCCAGCCCCAGCAAGUACUGCGGACCAGUUGGGCUGGCUGGCCCCUUUCCUGCAGAAGCAGACAACACCCACUUCUACCCUCGUAGGAGCCCCUUUCUACACUCACUUCCCUGGAACCCGUGAUCCUGACUCCCCUCCUCCCGGACCCCAAGCAUCCAGGACGUCUAACUAGGAAUAGAAAGUAACUUCCAAAGUCAAGACAAGGAUACCAGUUUUUACUGUUUCUAUUCACCUUUCUGCCAAGAAGUCUGAAGUGACACAAGAAGAAAAAGAAGAAAUAAAGCCAUCACUAUACAUAGACAAUUACUAUACAUAGAUUGCUUACUAUACAAAGAAAAUUCACAAGAACCUACCAACUAUUAGAAAUAACAAUUUCCUUGCCGGGGGCAAGGAGAAUACACAAACAUCAAUAUCCUUAC
rnacentral:lncRNA from 1 species